rnacentral:rRNA from 1 species
AUGCCUACGGGACGCAGCAGUGGGGAAUAUUGGGCAAUGGGCGCAAGCCUGACCCAGCAACGCCGCGUGAAGGAAGAAGGCUUUCGGGUUGUAAACUUCUUUUGUCAGGGACGAAGCAAGUGACGGUACCUGACGAAUAAGCCACGGCUAACUACGUGCCAGCAGCCGCGGUAAUACGUAGGGAGCAAGCGUUAUCCGGAUUUAUUGGGUGUAAAGGGUGCGUAGACGGGAAGGCAAGUUAGUUGUGAAAUCCCUCGGCUUAACUGAUGAACUGCAACUAAAACUAUCUUUCUUGAGUGCUGGAG